GUGGGGAAUAUUGGACAAUGGGGGGAACCCUGAUCCAGCCAUGCCGCGUGUGUGAAGAAGGCCUUUUGGUUGUAAAGCACUUUAAGCGAGGAGGAGGCUACCGAGAUUAAUACUCUUGGAUAGUGGACGUUACUCGCAGAAUAAGCACCGGCUAACUCUGUGCCAGCAGCCGCGGUAAUACAGAUGGUGCAAGCGUUAAUCGGAGUUACUGGGCGUAAAGCGCGCGUAGGUGGCCAAUUAAGUCAAAUGUGAAAUCCCCGAACUUAACUUGGGAAUUGCAUUCGAUACUGGUUGGCUAGAGUAUGGGAGAGGAUGGUAGAAUUCCAGGUGUAGCGGUGAAAUGCGUAGAGAUCUGGAGGAAUACCGAUGGCGAAGGCAGCCAUCUGGCCUAAUACUGACACUGAGGUGCGAAAGCAUGGGGAGCAAACAGGAUUAGAAACCCGUGUAGUCC
rnacentral:rRNA from 1 species